rnacentral:rRNA from 1 species
UACGGGGGGGGCGAGCGUUGUUCGGAAUCACUGGGCGUAAAGGGCGCGUAGGCGGCCCGCACAAGUCUGCGGUGAAAACCUCCGGCUUAACCGGGGGCCGGCCGUGGAAACUGUCGGGCUGGAGGCUGGGAGAGGGCAGCGGAAUUCCCGGUGUAGCGGUGAAAUGCGUAGAUAUCUGGAGGAAUACCGGUGGCGAAGGCGGCAUCCUGGACCAUUACUGACGCUGAGGCGCGAAAGCUAGGGGAGCAAACGGG